UCAAACCCGCCUCUGCAUCUCUCCCUCCCCCCCUCCAAUCUCCCCGGUCUCUCUCCAGGGCUGUAGCUGCUUUGGGGCCAGGUGGAGGCAGGGCAGAGGCUCCGAGGGGCUGGCCGGCCGGAUGAAGCACAUGUGAAGAGGGGAGGGAGCGUUGCCUUGCAUGCCAGUGGUCUCUCUGUGUGCCGGGGGGUCGUGAAUAGCUGCGGAGCCGGCGGCGUGCAGCUGGGGUCGGCUGGAUUGCUCCGUUGCAACCCCUGCAGGAGCAGGAGGGAACUGGAGAUAAUGAGGGGAUUCCAGCUCCUUGCUGAGACCGGGAUACCAUUCCGGUGACAGAUGGAUCUCUCGCUCGCUCGCUCUCUAGCUCUCUAUAUUUUUGUUUUCAAGAUGUUUGAACUGAAGUUCUGAAGCAUCUCGGAGGGGACCCAGGAGAGGGGGAGGAGGAGCACCCUCCGGAGCCCAGCGACA